UCUCAACUGAGUCUCACUACAACUCACACACAAGGCACAAAGAAAGAUCGGUGCCUUCCUUUGGAAUCUAUUUCACUGGCACUAUUUUUCAUAUCCAGCAGAAGAAACUGGUAAAGCCGUUGGUUACGUACCGCUGCUAUGGAUACUACCCGUAUUGGCCGCUGCUUGCUGUUUUUCUUUCUUGCCAUCCUCGUGGAUGUCGUAGGACUCAUCCUCUUCUUGGUUGGAGUCGCAGUGCCCCUCAGUUUCUGGGAUUUCUUUGUGUUCUCUGGGCCGCUCCUGAUCUUCCUCAGCCUGAUAUUCUGGAUCAUCUGGUAUCUGGGAAACCUGGAGGUCCCACUGGAGGAGUUACUCCCAAAAUGAGAUUCUUCAUUUGUUCCUCCAUUUGGAAAACAACUGGAUGAAAAUGCUCUGCAUCAAAUUGCUGUCACUGCUGGAUGCUUGUAUGCACACCUCACUAACCAGAAAACCUGCAGCUUCACUCUGAAAGAACAAACAUGGAACCUUUAUGGAACCUGGAAUGUAUGCUGUAUGCUGAGUAUCCCAGACAUGGGAGCUGGUUUAAAAACUGCUGAAGACACCCAGACAUGUAAAAGGGUCCCCCUUACACAAGAGCAACACAUCUUGACUCAAAGACUGAAGCAACGACAAAUCUCAAAUUUGCACGUUUUGUAGUCACUUUGCAUCACUUUUGCACUUUUUCUGGUUAUUUUGUAGUCAUUCAUGCUACCCUGUAGUCUUGUUACAUCUCUCUGCAGUUUUUCUGUGGACAUUCGGCUUGUAUUUUUAUAGUAAUUUUGCCUCCCCAUGUGGUUGUUUUGAAUCCGUUUUGUAGCCAUUUUUGCUUGUGUGCACUUUUUCAGUUUCUCUACGAAAUGCUUUUGAAUCCCUGCGGUACUUUUUCUCCGACUUGUGGUUGUUUUUAAUCUCCUUUCUGGGCAUCUUACUUUUCUUUUGUCUCACUGUAGUCAUGUCCUUGUAUUCUCUUCAUUGUCUUGUGCGCAUCUCUUUGUAAUUAUUUUCCAUCUCCAUUUUCUAGCUUUUGUUUUUUUUCUUUGUAUUUUUGUUUUCAUUUUUGCAUAGCUUUGCAUUUACACAUGUGCAUUUUUGUCACUUGUCUUUGUAGUCAUGACCUUUGUAACCACUUUAUUUAACUUUCUGAUAGUAACACACACAAGUUCUCCAUUUGCACCUUCCACUUAAUUUACUUCCUGGUGUUGCUGUUCAUUGUGUUGCUGCUUUACUGACUCCCUAAGUAAAGGGCGAACAGGACUGUUCGCCCUGCUGAGUCUCUGUGGUGAUUUUCUUGUUGUGAAAUGUGAGUAUUGGUUGGUCGGCCCAUUCAACAAAAACCAGUCAAACUGGGUCCAUUAGUUACUGGGGCAGAGGAGGGUCACUUUACAAGAAUGGGUUUGUGUGAAGAGAAAAGAGGAAAAAAACAAUCCCCAACUAUGAGACAUAACAUAAUAAGUAUAGGGGGUAAUCAAAUAGAAGCUAGAGCUGUGGUAUAAUCUUUAACUGAAGUAUGUAGUACAACUAGUUUUUCUGUUACUGAAGACACAUCCGUCUUACAGUCAACUGGUAUCAGAGCUUAACAUCAAGAUAUGUUAACAAUGCUGCCUACAACAAUAGAGAUUCAGUCACAACUGACAAAGAAAACAGUAACUUUUAUUCUGGUAGAAAGUUCAGUUUUUGAUUUACUAUGUUGUAUUUAUAACAUAUGAUAAUAUAUGUUUAAGUAAACUAAAUGAUGGAUAUCAAAAUGUAGUUUCAGUUGAAUCAUUAAAAUCUUGGCACUAAGCAGCUGCGUUCUCAAGGAGCAUGUCAACCACACAGAUACUGAGUCCCACGCAACGGGCGCAUUUAAAAAGAAAAACAAAAAAUGUGUCAGCCAUGCAUUACUAAUUCAUAACUUCAACCGCACUGCUCAAACUGCCCCAGGAAAAUUACUGUGAGCUACAGUGGACGUGUGAUUCUAACGUGUCACAAUCCCACUGUUGUCCCGUCUCCGGGGCUUCGGGUUCCAUUUCACACCUAACGUGUCUCUCCAUUACCUGCUGCCAGCGCGCUGUACAGUGCUCGGGCGUGCACGCACGCAGACACACCUGAGCCGGGCCCGGGUCAGCUGAAUAUGACACUGUUUAACUUGCAGCGCUGCCGUGACAAAAGGUGGCAAGGAUUAAAUUCUGCAUGGCCUCUUGGUGUAGUGUUUGGUUGUUGUCAGUCCUGCCAGCACUUCACAGUACAGCAGCAAUGUGUUUAGUUCUUGGUAAAGGGUAGCCAAUACAAUUCAGUUCUGGCCCUUCGCCCCGUCAUGUGUUCAUUCCUUACGCUCAUCUUUUCCUACUUGAAUACCAAGCGUGAUUAUACAGCCUACUUAUGAUACCUCAUAUCCUCAUACAUUAUCACCUCUUAUUAGUCACUGAUGGUUUUCUGCUCUGGUAACAGCAUAAACACUCUGUAUUCACACUUAACCUUUAUACAAUGAACAUUUUGAAUACGACCUCUGCCCUUUAUUUUUUUCAUUAUCAAUCUGUCAUGUAACAUGCAUCUGUUUUAUCUUGUACUCUUUCUUGUAUCAUGUUAAGAUGCUGCAUGUGUACUUUAUUCAGAUAUAUGUGUGUUUCAUCUCGUUCCUCCUGCUGCUCCCUUCUCUUCCCAUCUCUUUAUUCUCUCUUUUUUACUUCCUCAAGCAGAUGGGUCCCUCCAUAUGAGCCGGGUUCUGCUCAAGGUUUCUUCCUGUUAAAGGGGAGUUUUUCCCUACGUUCCCCAUACUGCUCACUCUGACUAAUGUAACCAGACUAUUUGAAUUGUAAAUGGAACUAUAGAAAUAAAAUAGAAUUGAAUGAAUUCCUUAACUUUAUAUAUGUUUUGGGACAUAAUAUGCAAUGAUUUCUUUUAGCCUCUCAUCUACCAUUUUUCCAUUAUUUCAUUAUUACCUGGAAAGGAAUAUUUGUAAAUUACAGGUUUGUACAAGCGAUUCCCCAAAACACACACAUAUAUAUUUCAAUCGCAAGAGUGAAUGAGAAGAAUUUGAUUUUAGUCAGGGCCAGCUCUUGUUUUAUAUUUCAGUUAGUUGUUUUUGCUGUGAAAGUCUGUGUAAGUAUAGCAUAUUUAUCAUGCAGUUUUUCUACUGCUAUUAUACUGUAUAUGACUGAAGGAAAUGUCAGUCAGACUGUGAUCUUUUGAAUAAAUAUGUAGUUACUG